UUUGGAAAGACAAAAUGGUAGCUUCAAAUUUUUGAGGAAGAACAAAGAAAUUUAUUUUCACUUCUUAAUGACAUAAUCAAGAAAUGGUAAAUCGGACAUUUUCUUUACAUGGGAGUGGAAGACGAAAUGUAAGGUAGUGCAGGAAGAAGCUAUCCAUUACUAUCAUUGCUUGAAUCAUUAUACCAAAUACAAUUUGGGGGUUACUCCCUGUACCUCCCCAAUUCUAACCCCCACCCCCCAUUCUAUUUUUGUCAUUUGCUCUAUUUUUUCUAUUCUAAUUUUAUCCUUUAGCAAAAAUUUAUAUUUAGAAAUAAAAUUUUAUAAUUUUAUUCUCCCACCCCC
rnacentral:lncRNA from 1 species